rnacentral:rRNA from 1 species
UACAGAGGUCUCAAGCGUUGUUCGGAUUCAUUGGGCGUAAAGGGUGCGUAGGUGGCUUGGUAAGUUGAAGGUGAAAUCUCGGGGCUUAACUCCGAAACUGCAUUUGAUACUGCGGUGCUUGAGGACUGGAGAGGAGACUGGAAUUCACGGUGUAGCAGUGAAAUGCGUAGAGAUCGUGAGGAAGACCAGUGGCGAAGGCGGGUCUCUGGACAGUUCCUGACACUGAGGCACGAAGGCCAGGGGAGCAAACGGG